rnacentral:rRNA from 1 species
GACGAACGCUGGCGGCGUGCUUAACACAUGCAAGUCGAACGGAAAGGCCCUGCUUGCAGGGUACUCGAGUGGCGAACGGGUGAGUAACACGUGGGUGAUCUGCCCUGCACUUCGGGAUAAGCCUGGGAAACUGGGUCUAAUACCGGAUAGGAGCCAUUUUUAGUGUGAUGGUUGGAAAGUUUUUUUCGGUGUAGGAUGAGCUCGCGGCCUAUCAGCUUGUUGGUGGGGUAAUGGCCUACCAAGGCGGCGACGGGUAGCCGGCCUGAGAGGGUGGACGGCCACAUUGGGACUGAGAUACGGCCCAGACUCCUACGGGAGGCAGCAGUGGGGAAUAUUGCACAAUGGGCGCAAGCCUGAUGCAGCGACGCCGCGUGGGGGAUGACGGCCUUCGGGUUGUAAACUCCUUUCGCUAGGGACGAAGCUUUUUGUGACGGUACCUAGAUAAGAAACACCGGCUAACUACGU